rnacentral:rRNA from 1 species
GAUGAACGCUGGCGGCGUGCCUAAUACAUGCAAGUCGAGCGAACAGACGAGGAGCUUGCUCCUUUGACGUUAGCCGCGGACGUGUGAGUAACACGUGUGUAACCUACCUAUAAGACUGGGAAAACUUCGGGAAACCGGAGCUAAUACCGGAUAAUAUUUCGAACCGCAUGGUUCGAUAGUGAAAUAUGGCUCUGCUAUCACUUAUAGAUGGACCUCCGCCGUAUUAGAUGGUUGGUAAGGUAACGGGUUACCAAGGCAAGGAUACGUAGCCGAGCUGAGGGGGUGAUAGGCCACACUGGAAGUGAGACACGGUCCAGACGCCUACGGGAGGCAGCAGUAGGGAAUCUGCCGCAAUGGGCGAAAGCCUGACGGAGCAACGCCGAGUGAGUGAUGAAGGUCUUCGGAGCGUAAAACUCUGUUAUUAGGGAAGAACAAACGUGUAAGUAACUGUGCACGGCUUGACGGUACCUAAUCAGAAAGCCACGGCUAACUACGUG